GGUGCCGUAGAAGAGGGGUACUUCGUUGUGGACGACGUUGCCGCUGGUUCGAGUCCAGCCCGUAUUG
rnacentral:tRNA from 1 species